rnacentral:lncRNA from 1 species
AGACAGUUUCGACACUUUGCAAAGACAAAGACCAGAGGGAGGAGGAAAAGGAGGACGAGGAGGAAGAGAGAGAAGGAAGGGGCGAUGUGAGCUGGGGAAGGGGUGCGUGUUCGGGACACCCCCCGCUUAUUCUCCCCCUCAGCCCCUCUUCCCCUCAAAGCCCCAGAAACUUCCGCGUGGCUCCCACGGCGGGCGCUGGUACCACUUUCAGAUGCAACCGUUCGGACGCAGAAAUGCCGAUAGGAGCAAUGAGCAUCUCCAGGGGCUGUGGCGAGCAGAUGCUGUGACCUUGGUGACCAGGACAGCCAUCUGAGGACCAGGAAUGGAUACCCCCUCAGCCCACUGAGGGACUGCCUCACAGGAAUGACUAGAAAUGCGGGACCCAGGUGAGAGCUCGGCUGUGCCCACACUGGGGGCCACGUGUCAGCCCAGCGCGUGCUCCCCAGAGCCCCGAUCCAGGGCUUGGCGACACUGCUGACGCUCCUUCUCGUGUCUCUUCUCCUCCCUUUGCCGGCGAAGUGACUGUCUUCCUUUAGCCACCUGAUUGAGAACAUCUGGCCGGCGGGGCAGACAUCAAAGCAGGAGCCCCCCCUCGAGGGCCCCAGGGGUCCCCAGAAGCCCCAGGCUGCUCCUGAUGGCUCGGGGGAUGCUCGGUCAGCGGCGCGGCUCACACAGUGUUUUCCUGAAAUGCUUUUUGUCCGGAAGCGCUCAGUGUGAGCUUUGCAAAGCUCAGCCUCAGCCUUUGAAAAUCCACAUCAGUUC